ensembl:lncRNA
CCCCCACUGAGUGGAAAUGGUUAGGCCUUGCUCAGUGGUUGACUGGGGACCCCUCUGAGAAAAGCAUAGGAUGAAAACCUGAAGCUGUCUGAAGAUGCAAACAGCUGGGGACUGUCAGCUAACCACCCUCCCUGGAGCUGAGGAGUGAGUCCUUUCUUGAAGGAGGAUCUGAUUGGCGCAUCUCCACAUCUGCCACAGUUUACCUUGUGUCCCGUGUGGCUCCACUUCAUAGCACAGUUGUGGAGCAGCUCUUCUGGGGUUCUGGUGGGCCUCUCUUCCUGAGGGGAAACUUAAAAGAGGGAAUUUAGAGAGAUGAACUAUAGCCCCCAUGGCUACAGGUGGUCUCAUAACCACAACUGAUACUCAUUGUCUCUCUCCUCCACUAACUGUUCGAAAGUCCCUCACUCUCUGCUGGCCUCAGUGGCUCACAUGGUGGUGUUUCCCAAACCAUCCUUCCUGAGGGGCCUGAAUUCCUGGUAAUCUUACCCGUGUCUAGGCUCCAUUACUACAUCACUACAUUUGUCACAAUUAGGCAAGAGCCUUCCAAGAGGCACCCAAGUGGGUCAACUGAGUUCCAUGGACGUUCCUCCCUGCUCCCAUCAUGUAACAGCAGCUCUGCCUGCUCCUGCUGAUCAAGGUCAAUUACCCCUGACAGAAGUGGUUCCUCUUCUUGCCUCCUGGUUCCUGGCCGCACAGAGCCCGGAGUGUCCAAGUGGAGCUGUAGCUUAUUGUUCAAUGGGAUUUUUGCCAUCCUCUGCCAAAAACACACCCUUUCUGGGGACCAGGACCUCUAACCCUGCAGAAUCCAGAGCUGUGGGGACCCCUAGUGAGUCACUGAAAGUGAUGGUCAAGCUUCUGUGCACCAGGCUCUGCCCAAGCGUGAUUGCCAGGAAGUCUGUCCCAUGCAGUGCUGCAGACCUGUGUAUUUCUUCAGGGACCUCAGCCAGAGAAACAAGCUGAGGCACAGAAACGCUAAGUAACGUUCCUUAGGCCCCCAGUGGUAAGUCGUAGAGCUGAGACUAGGCCAUUCUCAGUCUGGUUCAAGGGCCUGCACUCUGUGGGGGAUGUGUGUGUGUGUGUGUGUGUUUGUGUGUGUGUGAGUGUGUGUGAAAUAUUUCGAAAAAAGAAAAUCUUGUCAGAGUUGGGGCAAGUUCUGCUCACAGUGGCAGCUGGUCUUAUCCUCGAGGACAAAUGGUUUCUUGGUUCUUUUAAAAAGUAGGCAAACUGUCUUAGGAAGGACAGUGGGCCUUUGCCUGGGCCCUGCUGAUGCAGAUCGUCAGCCAGAGUAUGUUUUGUGUGCCACAUCUCAGGAAAGCCAGAACCUCCCAGAGAAGGACAAUGAAACUGGCAAGGACGUGGAACAGCUUCUCUAUGGGGCAAGAACAGGAAAUUCGAGACACAUCCCUCAUGUCCCCAGCUCCCAACCCCAUCAGAGUCAGUAAAAGACAGAGGUUAGGAGUUGGGAUUUUCUUGGCUAUUCCUCUGACUAGCUAUAUAGACAUGGGCAAGCCUGUGAACAUUGCUGGCCCUGGUCUCCUUAUCUGGAAGAUGGAUUCUGGAAGAAAGCCAAACCAGGGAAUGAUUUCUACAACAAGGCAGCACAGGGCCGCAGUGGGGAACAUUGACACUGGAACCAGGUGGCCUGAGUUUGUACCCCAACUCUAAGCUAUUGUCCAGGCAAGGAUUCAAGCAGAUGGAGGCAAGAGUUGGAGCAAGAGAAGGAGGAGAAAGAGGGAUGUAAAGGCCGGAUGAGUGGGUUAGUACAAGUUGUGUAUAAAUCGGGAACCACUUAGAUUAAUACAUAUGAAGCUUGUUUCUCUUAUGCCAAGACAACACUGUUAAUGAGCUUGGGCAGCCGGAAGUGUCGCUCUGCCAGGUGGGUCCCACCCUCUCCUCUGCUACCACCUGUCUUACUCCUACCUUCCUGCAUUCACUACUCUCCAUUUUCCGUCAACACUGGCCAACACCACUACCUACAUGUCACAAUGUCAAGGGAGGUAUCCAGAUGCCAUUGCAGAAAGUGCCUAUCUCUGCUCAGCCUCCAGAGAGGAGCUUCAUGAGUCCAAGGCAUUGCCAGAGCUGGACUCAUCCUCUUGAAAAUGGUGAGUGAAAUGAGAUCAUUUGUAAGUUGAGAUUUUUAUCAAAAGCCAGUGUUUUAAAGCUCUCUAUGAAACAAACAAAAAUCCCAUGGGGUUUUCCUUAAGGUAUACUCACUUUCACAUGUGUCAUUAUUGACUAAAACUUAUAAUUUAAAUUAUGGCAUACUCCUUAAUUUAAAAUAUGUACUCCUUAAUUUAGAAUACAAUUUUCUUAAAGCUUGAAUUUUAGAAAUGAAAGGGACUUGUGAGACCAUUCAGUUCCAUGUCAUUGUUUUUGAGCUGAGGGACUGAGAGGUGGUGAGGUGAAGGCGCUUAUCCGUGUUCACAGGGCUCAUUAGCAGAGCUGGGUCAUGGGCAGAAUUCUCAGUCAAAAAUUAUUUUCCUUACAUCACAGAAGACUCCUCCUCCAGAGUACUUAUUGUUAUGACAUCUUAAAGGGUUCCAGAAUGUGAGGACAAGUGAAACUAGUAGCAUCAACAGCUCAUGCAGAAUGGGGACUAAAGGAACUGGGCCUAGGGCCAGGGCUGGAAUCCUGUCUUCCCCACCUACUAGCAGUGUGGUCUUGGGCAAAUUAUUCCACCUCUCCGUGAAGUCACAGUUAACCUGAUUGCAAGUGUUUCAAUUGGUUUGUAGAGUGUUCCACUCUGUGUUAGGGACAGAAUUAGUAUCAGAUGCAUGUGAAUCAGGAAUCAUUUAUAUAUUUACGUGUUCAAUAACUGUUAACUAUUAUUUCCGAAAGGCACACUAUGAGUAUCCAGUGCAGUUAUAGGCUCUGGCUUUGCUAAAUGGAGAAUAUUAAGGGAUGUCUGCAUCCUGCAUCCUUUUUAGGUCUUUCCCAGUUUAAAAGUCUUGAGAAACCAGAAUUCUCUUCCUAAGUCCAUCCUGUUCCCACUUCAGCCCAAGCAGACUUUCCCCUCACUCUAGAAUGCUGAGGAUACAGACCCUGGCAGAGCUUGAUCUUAGCCAUAUCCCAGUGCUGAGCCUAGUGCCUGGAAAAAAAAAAGUUUGUGAAAGAGGAAUACAGUGGUAUCUCCAGAAUUUUAAUAUAGAUGUGGUUUAGAGUUGAUUAUCUGGGUGAUUGGCGAUUAGGGAGCUUGAAUUGAAAUUGCAUUUGCUAUAGGAAAUGAUGGUGGUUAAAGGGGUGUGACUAAUGUCCCCUCAUCCUAGCCCUUGAAAUCACCAAUGAAUGCAAAAAGGAAUGAAUGAAUGAAUGAAUGAAUGAAGAGAGUAGCAGAGCUAGUGCUCUUUCAGUAGACACCACUACAAGGAUACAACCUCCAAGCAAUACCAGAGGACAGGAAGAAAUCUCAGAAUGGGACCUGAGAUGGACUAAUCCGAUAUAAACUGGGUAUUGAUAUAUUAUCUCUACCUGUCAACACCCCCAGGCUGGAGAAGUAUGCAUUUCAAUGGUUAUGAAAACGAUGCAUUCCUUGCCCUUGCAGGAAGACAAACAACUUGAACAGGGUCUUUGACCUGUGACUUGUGGCCCACGGUUUAGAAUACAAUGUUCUAGAGGAUAUAUACUUACUGAUGAGAUUCUCACCACUUUUUCAAUUUUCCUCACAGUGGCGUGAGAUUAAUGAGAUAACCAUUUUACAGCUCGAUGUGAAAGACACUAGUAUGUAUAAGCUAUUAUUGUCGUGUUUAUACUCCAG